UACGUAGGAGGCAAGCGUUGUCCGGAAUCACUGGGCGUAAAGCGCGUGUAGGCGGGACGCUAAGUCUGUUGUGAAAGCGCCUGGCUUAACCGGGCGAGGUCGAUGGAAACUAGCGACCUGGAGGCCGGUAGAGGGGGGUGGAAUUCCGGGUGUAGUGGUGAAAUGCGUAGAGAUCCGGAGGAACACCAGUGGCGAAGGCGGCCCCCUGGGCCGCGCCUGACGCUGAGACGCGAAAGCGCGGGGAGCGAACGGG
rnacentral:rRNA from 1 species